GCCUGGGUGGCACAGCGGUUGUGCGUCUGCCUUCGGCUCAGGGUGUGAUCCUGGCGUUGUGGGAUCGAGCCCCACAUCAGGCU
rfam:Ailuropoda melanoleuca scaffold1598_3, whole genome shotgun sequence.